GACGAACGCUGGCGGCGUGCUUAACACAUGCAAGUCGAACGGAAAGGCCCUGCUUUUGUGGGGUGCUCGAGUGGCGAACGGGCGAGUAACACGUGAGUAACCUGCCCUUGACUUUGGGAUAACUUCAGGAAACUGGGGCUAAUACCGGAUAGGAGCUCCUGCUGCAUGGUGGGGGUUGGAAAGUUUCGGCGGUUGGGGAUGGACUCGCGGCUUAUCAGCUUGUUGGUGGGGUAGUGGCUUACCAAGGCUUUGACGGGUAGCCGGCCUGAGAGGGUGACCGGCCACAUUGGGACUGAGAUACGGCCCAGACUCCUACGGGAGGCAGCAGUGGGGAAUAUUGCAUAAUGGGCGGAAGCCUGAUGCAGCAACGCCGCGUGCGGGAUGACGGCCUUCGGGUUGUAAACCGCUUUCGCCUGUGACGAAGCGUGAGUGACGGUAAUGGGUAAAGAAGCACCGGCUAACUACGUG
rnacentral:rRNA from 1 species